rnacentral:rRNA from 1 species
GACGAACGCUGGCGGCGUGCCUAACACAUGCAAGUCGAACGGAGAAAUUCAGCAAUGGAUUUCUUAGUGGCGAACGGGUGAGUAACGCGUAGAUAACCUGCCUCUAAGAUGGGGACAACAACUCGAAAGGGUUGCUAAUACCGAAUGUGAACAGUGUCUCGCAUGGGAUGCUGUUUGAAGGUGCCUCUGAAUAUGCUACCGCUUAGAGAUGGGUCUGCGUCUGAUUAGCUAGUUGGAGGGGUAAUGGCCCACCAAGGCGACGAUCCGUAGCCGGGCUGAGAGGAGAAGCGGCCACACUGGGACUGAGACACGGCCCAGAAGCCUGCGGGAGGCAGCAGUGGGGAAUCUUCCGCAAUGGACGAAAGUCUAACGGAGCAACGCCGCGUGAGUGAAGAAGGUUUUCGGAUCGUAAAGCUCUGUCUUCAGGGACGAAUGUGCAGGAUGUAAAUAAUGUCUUGUAAUGACGGUACCUGAGGAGGAAGCCACGGCUAACUACGUGCCAGCCGCCGCCGUAA